GAUGAAGAACGUAGCGAAAUGCGAUACUUGGUGUGAAUUGCAGAAUCCCGUGAACCAUCGAGUCUUUGAACGCAAGUUGCGCCCGAAGCCAUCAGGUUGAGGGCACGUCUGCCUGGGCGUCACAUAUCGUUGCCCAAUGCCUAUUGCAUUGCAAUAGGAAUUUCUAGGGCGAAUGAUGGCUUCCCGUGAGCGUUGUUGCCUCGCGGUUGGUUGAAAAUCGAGUCCUUGGUAGGGUGUGCCAUGGUAGAUGGUGGUCGAGUUAGAACGAUACCGAUCAUGUGCAUGCUCCCCAAAAUAUGGCCUCUAUGACCCACACGCGUCUUUUGACGCUCAUGACGAGACCUCAGGUCAGGCGGGGCUACCCGCUGAAUUUAAGCAUAUCAAUAAGCGGAGGA
rnacentral:misc_RNA from 1 species